GAAUCUGUUGUAUUCGUUUCACACGUGCAGCCUGUGGGGUCAGUUACACGCGGCGGGCAUACGGCGCACUACAGCAACGCAUUCAGGACGAUGUUCAGACUUCCACCUCAUUGUAGCGUGUCAACCACGUUCGCUGAAAAACAUGUUGCCGAUUUUUACGCUUUUUUGCGAAAGCGUAGCGCAUCGCUACUCCGACGCAUACGUCUUAGUGCGAACGGCAUCGUGAGCGCAUUAGCUGAUAGAUGGGAAUCCCAAUGCUGAGGCGGUGGAUGCGCUUGCACACUUCUGCCAAUGCGUAGCCACUUGACCUAACGUUGUCUGGAUGCGAUGUUAUUUAUUAUUUAAAAAU